rnacentral:rRNA from 1 species
GUGGCGCACGGGUGCGUAACACGUAUGCAAUCUGCCCCUAACAGGGGAAUAGCCCGGCGAAAGUCGGAUUAAUACCCCAUAACAAUGUGAAUCGGCAUCGGUUUAUAUUUAAAGCUCCGGCGGUUAGGGAUGAGCAUGCGCGACAUUAGCUAGAUGGCGGGGUAACGGCCCACCAUGGCUACGAUGUCUAGGGGGUCUGAGAGGAUUUUCCCCCACACUGGUACUGAGACACGGACCAGACUCCUACGGGAGGCAGCAGUAGGGAAUAUUGGGCAAUGGACGCAAGUCUGACCCAGCCAUGCCGCGUGAAGGACGAAGGCCCUAUGGGUUGUAAACUUCUUUUGUACGGGAAGAAACCCCUCUACGUGUAGGGGGCUGACGGUACCGUAAGAAUAAGGAUCGGCUAACUCCGUGCCAGCAGCCGCGGUAAUACGGAGGAUCCAAGCGUUGUCCGGAUUUAUUGGGUUUAAAGGGUGCGUAGGCGGAUUACUAAGUCAGAGGUGAAAGUUUGCAGCUUAACUGUAAAAUUGCCUUUGAAACUGGUAGUCUUGAGUAUAGUUGAGGUGGGCGGAAUGUGUCAUGUAGCGGUGAAAUGCUUAGAUAUGAUACAGAACACCGAUUGCGAAGGCAGCUCACUAAACUGUAACUGACGCUGAGGCACGAAAGCGUGGGGAGCAAACAGGAUUAGAUACCC